rnacentral:rRNA from 1 species
CUUUUGCUGGCGACCGGCGCACGGGUGAGUAACACGUAUCCAACCUGCCCUUUACUCGGGGAUAGCCUUUCGAAAGAAAGAUUAAUACCCGAUAGCAUAAUGAUUCCGCAUGGUUUCAUUAUUAAAGGAUUCCGGUAAAGGAUGGGGAUGCGUUCCAUUAGGUUGUUGGUGAGGUAACGGCUCACCAAGCCUUCGAUGGAUAGGGGUUCUGAGAGGAAGGUCCCCCACAUUGGGACUGAGACACGGUCCAA